rfam:Methylobacterium sp. Leaf104 contig_7, whole genome shotgun sequence.
CAUCGGCUGCGGGCCCCUCUGGCGGGAUGCUGCAUGAUGCGUUCCGUGAUGUCGGAGCCGAUGC